UACGGAGGGUGCAAGCGUUAAUCGGAAUUAUUGGGCGUAAAGGGCGCGUAGGCGGUGCGGUAAGUCACCUGUGAAAUCUCCUGGCUCAACUGGGAGUCUGCAGGCGAAACUGCCGUGCUGGAGUAUGGGAGAGGUGCGUGGAAUUCCUGGUGUAGCGGUGAAAUGCGUAGAUAUCAGGAGGAACACCUGUGGCGAAAGCGGCGCACUGGACCAUAACUGACGCUGAGGCGCGAAAGCUAGGGGAGCAAACAGG
rnacentral:rRNA from 1 species